GGUUAAGUGACUAAGCGUACACGGUGGAUGCCUUGGCAGUCAGAGGCGAUGAAAGACGUAGUAACUUGCGAUAAGCCCAGAUUAGGUAGUAACAACCAUUUGAGUCUGGGAUUUCUGAAUGGGGAAACCCACGUGCAUAAGCACGUAUCCUUACCUGAAUACAUAGGGUAAGGAGGCGAACCGGGGGAACUGAAACAUCUAAGUACCCCGAGGAAAAGAAAUCAACCGAGAUUCCGAAAGUAGCGGCGAGCGAAAUUGGACUAGCCCUUAAGCUUUACACGCGUUAGACGAACGGUCUGGAAAGUCCGACGAUACAGGGUGAUAGUCCCGUAGUUGACGACGUGUGUUCAGUGAAAUCGAGUAGGGCGGGACACGUGAUAUCCUGUCUGAAUAUGGGGGGACCAUCCUCCAAGGCUAAAUACUACUGACUGACCGAUAGUGAACCAGUACCGUGAGGGAAAGGCGAAAAGAACCCCUGUGAGGGGAGUGAAAUAGAACCUGAAACCGUGUACGUACAAGCAGUAGGAGCAGGCUUUGUCCUGUGACUGCGUACCUUUUGUAUAAUGGGUCAGCGACUUAUAUUCAGUGGCAAGGUUAACCAUCUAGGGGAGCCGUAGGGAAACCGAGUCUUAACUGGGCGUUCAGUCUCUGGAUAUAGACCCGAAACCAGGUGAUCUAGCCAUGGGCAGGUUGAAGGUUGAGUAACAUCAACUGGAGGACCGAACCGACUAAUGUUGAAAAAUUAGCGGAUGACUUGUGGCUAGGGGUGAAAGGCCAAUCAAACCUGGAGAUAGCUGGUUCUCCCCGAAAGCUAUUUAGGUAGCGCCUCGGACGAAUACUACUGGGGGUAGAGCACUGUUAAGGCUAGGGGGUCAUCCCGACUUACCAACCCUUUGCAAACUCCGAAUACCAGUAAGUACUAUCCGGGAGACACACGGCGGGUGCUAACGUCCGUCGUGGAGAGGGAAACAACCCAGACCGCCAGCUAAGGUCCCAAAUUACUACUAAGUGGGAAACGAUGUGGGAAGGCUCAGACAGCCAGGAUGUUGGCUUAGAAGCAGCCAUCAUUUAAAGAAAGCGUAAUAGCUCACUGGUCGAGUCGGCCUGCGCGGAAGAUGUAACGGGGCUAAGUAGUAAACCGAAGCUGCGGCAAUGUGCUUUUGCACAUUGGGUAGGGGAGCGUUCUGUAAGCGGUUGAAGGUGUGUGGUAACGCAUGCUGGACGUAUCAGAAGUGCGAAUGCUGACAUGAGUAACGAUAAAGGGGGUGAAAAACCUCCUCGCCGGAAGACCAAGGGUUCCUGUCCAACGUUAAUCGGGGCAGGGUAAGUCGACCCCUAAGGCGAGGCCGAAAGGCGUAGUCGAUGGGAAACGGGUUAAUAUUCCCGUACUUCUUACAAUUGCGAUGGGGGGACGGAGAAGGCUAGGUGGGCCUGGCGACGGUUGUCCAGGUUCAAGUGCGUAGGCUUAAGAGUUAGGUAAAUCCGGCUCUUUCUAAGGCUGAGACACGACGUCGAGCAUCUACGGAUGUGAAGUCAUUGAUGCCAUGCUUCCAGGAAAAGCCUCUAAGCUUCAGAUUGUAAGGAAUCGUACCCCAAACCGACACAGGUGGUCGGGUAGAGAAUACCAAGGCGCUUGAGAGAACUCGGGUGAAGGAACUAGGCAAAAUGGUACCGUAACUUCGGGAGAAGGUACGCUCUCGACGGUGAAGUCCCUCGCGGAUGGAGCUAUUGAGAGUCGCAGAUACCAGGUGGCUGCAACUGUUUAUUAAAAACACAGCACUGUGCAAAAUCGUAAGAUGACGUAUACGGUGUGACGCCUGCCCGGUGCCGGAAGGUUAAUUGAUGGGGUUAGACUUCGGUCGAAGCUCUUGAUCGAAGCCCCGGUAAACGGCGGCCGUAACUAUAACGGUCCUAAGGUAGCGAAAUUCCUUGUCGGGUAAGUUCCGACCUGCACGAAUGGCGUAAUGAUGGCCACGCUGUCUCCACCCGAGACUCAGUGAAAUUGAAAUCGCUGUGAAGAUGCAGUGUACCCGCGGCUAGACGGAAAGACCCCGUGAACCUUUACUACAGCUUGGCACUGAACAUUGACCCUACAUGUGUAGGAUAGGUGGGAGGCUUUGAAGCACGUACGCCAGUAUGUGUGGAGCCGUCCUUGAAAUACCACCCUUGUAGUGUUGAUGUUCUAACGUCGACCCCUUAUCGGGGUUGCGGACAGUGCCUGGUGGGUAGUUUGACUGGGGCGGUCUCCUCCCAAAGAGUAACGGAGGAGCACGAAGGUGGGCUAAUCACGGUUGGACAUCGUGAGGUUAGUGCAAUGGCAUAAGCCCGCUUGACUGCGAGAAUGACAAUUCGAGCAGGUGCGAAAGCAGGUCAUAGUGAUCCGGUGGUUCUGAAUGGAAGGGCCAUCGCUCAACGGAUAAAAGGUACUCCGGGGAUAACAGGCUGAUACCGCCCAAGAGUUCAUAUCGACGGCGGUGUUUGGCACCUCGAUGUCGGCUCAUCACAUCCUGGGGCUGAAGUCGGUCCCAAGGGUAUGGCUGUUCGCCAUUUAAAGUGGUACGCGAGCUGGGUUUAGAACGUCGUGAGACAGUUCGGUCCCUAUCUGCCGUGGGCGUUGGAAGAUUGAAGGGGGCUGCUCCUAGUACGAGAGGACCGGAGUGGACGAACCUCUGGUGUUCGGGUUGUGUCGCCAGACGCAUUGCCCGGUAGCUAAGUUCGGAAUCGAUAACCGCUGAAAGCAUCUAAGCGGGAAGCGAGCCCUGAGAUGAGUCUUCCCUGAUACUUUAAGUAUCCUAAAGGGUUGUCGGAGACUACGACGUUGAUAGGUCAGGUGUGUAAGUGCUGUGAGGCAUUGAGCUAACUGAUACUAAUUGCCCGUGAGGCUUAACCAU
rnacentral:rRNA from 1 species